rfam:Danio rerio chromosome 23, GRCz11 reference primary assembly.
GCGUGACUGAUUUCCUCUGGUGUUCAGAGUGGACUGGGUUUUUCUAGCACCAUUUGAAAUCGGUCGUGC